ACACCCAUCAAGCCUGGCUUGGUUUUGGGCGACGGGACCUCCCCGCGCCCCGAUUUCGCCGGCUGGACGACCCCGAUCUCUCAAGCGUUGUACAAUCUCGCUGGUGGGACGGGCGGCCACGCCGUGAACCUCAAUCAAAUCA
rnacentral:misc_RNA from 1 species